UGUCUGUAAUUUAGAUAAAUGAACAAAGUUUUAUCCUUAUUUCUUUUCUUUUUUUAAAUAUAUUACUCAGAAAUCAAACUAUACUAAAAGUCGUAUUCAAGCGAAAUGCACAAGUAUUUUCCAUUGUGUGAAUUCAUGUGAAAUUGGUGUUAAAUUGUUUUAGUAAUAACCAUUCGAUACCGUGUAAACGAAACGCACAUGAAUAAUUUAUUUUUGUCUAACUGUUCAUGUCUUAGAACUACAGUAACUGCAGAAGGUUAACAAAGAAUUGAAUGUUUCUUAAUGCAAUUUUUUAAUUUAUUUAAUUAUUUAAUUUUAUACAAGACAUUUUUCCGCGCUUCUCACUCAAGAUGUUCGCACGUUCAAAGAUAUCAGCACCCGUUAAAAAUUACAGAAUUAAAAUAUAAUAAUUCCUGUUAUUAUAUGUAUAUUCUACAACCGUGAAAUUAAGAUAAGUGUUAAUUUUUCGUUUGAUUUCCUAUGCAUGGCUGUGACGUUGUCAAGACAAGCAUGUGCUGCCUUCAAUGUUGCAUUUUAUUUUAGAAAAAAAUCUAACUUUAUUCAAAAGUACG
rnacentral:lncRNA from 1 species